CCCACUGGGUAUCCAAAACCCAC
rnacentral:siRNA from 1 species